GGGAGACCUCGACUGCCUUAGGAUUGAGACAGACUCUUGUUAAUCUGAAUAAGAUGAUUCAAUCUGUCAUCUCAUCUGAUAUUGCUUGGAUACUUGGUUAGUCGAGAAAAUUUGAACAAAAAUGGAGGGAUAUUAGAAGACUUGCUAUGCAAGAAUCGACUAAUGCCACGACGCAAUGGAGGCUGACUUCCGUAAUUAUCUGCUGGUGCUUUACACCUGUACGGGACUUUUACAAAUGAUUGUUGGUUCUUCCAUUACUGAAUGUAUAGAGAUCUACUACAAGGUGCUCCUUGAAUGAGGAAACUGACCAGAUGCAAGUUACUUCAGGAAUCUGUUGUUCCUGUAAACCCAAGAUUCA